rnacentral:siRNA from 1 species
AGUUUUACAAAUUUGGGAGCCUA